AGUUCCAUUCGCGAUUGCGCAUCAACACCAAACGCUCCCUUAACCCACCCAACCCAAACCCCAAAUCCGAAACCGUCCUAUUCCUCGUUCGAAUCAGGGGCAUCUCUGAACUGGAACAAUCAGAUGCCAGCGAUUUGAGCGAUACUCUGUGAAGGAGCUACGUAGUGCGUUUCGCUCUUCCAAAUGGCGGUUUCCGAUAGUCCAAGCGGUGCCUCCACGCCGCCUCAACAGGAACCAGCCAACAAGUACGGUUUCACCAAGCCUCUCUCUCUCGCGGGUCCCACCGACGCUGAUCUCAACCGUAACAACGAAUUGGAGAAGUUCUUGCUCGAUUCGGGGCUCUACGAGAGCAAUGAUGAGUCCGCCGCGAGGAAGGAGGUUCUUCACCGCCUCGAUCAGAUUGUGAAAACCUGGGUGAAGCAGUUGACGCGCCAACGUGGCUACACAGAUCAGAUGGUGGAGGAUGCAAACGCAGUCAUUUUCACUUUUGGUUCUUACCGACUAGGGGUUCAUGGACCUGGAGUUGACAUUGACACUCUGUGCAUUGGUCCUUCUUAUGUGAACCGAGAGGAAGAUUUCUUCAUCAUUUUGCAUAACAUUCUGGCUGAAAUGGAAGAAGUUUCUGAACUACAACCGGUUCCUGAUGCACAUGUUCCAGUAAUGAAAUUCAAAUUCCAGGGAAUAUCUAUAGAUUUGCUGUAUGCAAGUAUAUCACUUUUGGUUGUGCCAGAAGACCUAGAUAUCUCUCAUGGUUCAGUGCUGUAUGAUGUUGAUGAACCAACUGUUCGAAGUCUUAAUGGCUGCCGUGUGGCAGAUCAAAUUCUUAAACUUGUUCCAAAUAUUGAGCACUUUCGAACUACACUGAGAUGCUUGAAGUUUUGGGCUAAAAGGCGUGGUGUUUAUUCAAAUGUUACUGGAUUCCUUGGUGGUGUAAAUUGGGCUAUUUUAGUUGCUCGAAUAUGCCAACUUUACCCUAAUGCAAUACCUAGUAUGUUGGUUUCCCGGUUCUUCAGGGUCUAUACACAGUGGCGGUGGCCAAACCCUGUAAUGCUAUGCUCUAUAGAAGAGAAUGAACUGGGAUUCCCUAUAUGGGAUCCUCGUAGAAAUCCCCGAGAUAGAUUUCACACUAUGCCAAUAAUUACUCCUGCAUACCCUUGCAUGAAUUCAAGUUACAAUGUCUCAGCAAGCACUCUUCGUGUCAUGAUGGAACAGUUCCGCUAUGGCAAUAAGAUUUGUGAUGAAAUUGACCUCAAUAAAGCCCAGUGGAGCGCACUUUUUCAGCCUUAUGUCUUUUUUGAGGCAUACAAAAACUAUUUACAAGUGGACAUAGUUGCAUCGGACACUGAUGAUUUACUAGCAUGGAAGGGCUGGGUAGAAUCUCGAUUGAGGCUGCUUACCCUUAAGAUAGAGCGAGAUACAAAUGGAAUGCUGCAGUGCCAUCCUUACCCACAUGAGUAUAUAGACACAUCCAAACCAUGUGCACAUUCUGCAUUUUUCAUGGGCUUGCAAAGGAAAGAGGGAGUAAGAGGUCAAGAGGGGCAGCAAUUUGAUAUACGUGGAACCGUUGAUGAAUUCAGACAAGAAAUAAAUAUGUAUAUCUACUGGAAGCCUGGAAUGGAAAUUUUUGUUUCUCAUGUUCGUCGAAAGCAACUUCCUGCAUUUGUUUUUCCUGAUGGUUACAAACGCACUAGAAUGCCAAGACACAUAAGCCAUCCAACUGAAAAAACAGGUGAUGAUGCCACAAAGUGCUACUCUGGAUCUGGGCCAUCUGAAAGAUGCACCAAGAGGAAAAGUUACCCUGAAAUGGUGGAAAAGAAGCCAGACAAACCAGAUAAACGGGCAUCCAUUAGCCCACAGAGGUUAGAAUGUGUUUCUCCUGAAAGUUGUACUAGUAAAUCAGGUGGUUCAGCUCAAAUGAGUAUUGAUAGUAUGGAAGGGGUUUGGGUAGCUGGUUCAACAACCAAGUAUGCUAACAGCAAUUGUGAAAUUAAGUCAUCUGAUGUGCUCCCAGGAAGUGGACUAAGCUCUGUGGUAGCUGACAUGCAGAUUAGUGAACCAGGCUUUGUUGACACCACACAUGAUAUGUUGAAAACGAGGAGUGUAGAAGUUCCUAAUGAGAAUGGAGUUGUCGAUGGGGACAAAGCUCAGGAUCUGACUUUAGAUUGCCUGGAAAGUGAAGAAAGUGAAUCUACUAACCAUUUUUCAAACUGUAAAGCGGGUGUUGUCGAUAUGGAUCAGCAACUAGACAAAGCAUGUAAUUUCAUCACAAGGGAUGAAUGCUCAGAUUAUGUACCAAAUGCCAGCUCCCAGAACCUCAGUUGCGAGGGUGAUGUUUGUGUGGCUGAUCCAGAUCAGUUCUGAAGAGAGUGGGUGUUUUCUUGGAAAUAGAGUAUUUCAAAAUAUCAGGGCUCAAGAAUAUAAGGUUUUGAAUUUUCUAACCUAUUUGUUUUCUCGGUAAUAGAGGCCUAUCUGAUCUUACAAUGAUACUAUUCAGUUCACCUCAUCCUUCGCUUUCUGCCUUCAUGGAAGUUACCAAAAGUUUAUAUUUCAUGAGUUUUCAGAAUAAGGAAUCUAAUCUUGUUUUGUUUUUUGGUCUGAUUUUAUUGUCUUUUGUUUGAUUUUAAGCUUUGUUUGCAUAUUUAUAGCCAAAUUUAGAGUAUGUCCUCCCCCUUUUCUCUUCCCCUCUUUUUGGGUCUUAUUCUAUGAGCAAGUGUUUUAAUGUCGUAUAUUUUCUUGUUUCUUUCAAGAUAAUUUGACUGUCAAUUUCCAUGGUAAUUUAAUUUCUUAGUUUUCUGACUGGUGAAUGUGUGGUCGCAGGUCCUGCACCACUAUACGUGCUAUGUUUCCAGUAACUGUGCUUAAGAACCUAACUUGUUUUGUGUAUAGAGAGACUCAGAGACCAGACCUUCCUAUUGUUUCAUUUUAAAUUAUUUUGUUUAAUAUAUUUUUCCCUAAUUGUUAUUAUUCUUUCUAUUUUCUAUAUUGUGUAUAGCCAGAUUUCAGACUCAGAAGUGUUGUAAAAUUGAAGAUGGGCUAGGUGGACGAGUUUGGACUGAAUCACAUGAUGUUUUGGGAGGGUUAAGGGCUGAAAUUGCUGUCACUCUGCUACCCGGUGCAUUAUUGGUGGCUGUUGCUGUGCUGAGAUCCUGUGAGCGGGACUAAGGCUGUAAUAGAACAGUGAGAAAAAAAAUACAACAAAUGAUGGCAGUGAAAGAGAUUGGUUUUGGGGUAUAUGGCAUUGCGAUGAUCGUUUGUGUACAUAGAUGAACAGCAUGACGGAGACACGCUUAAAUUGUGGUCUCGUCCUGUUGUGUGAAAACAUGCGCUCAUCUCAUCUUCAGAGCUCUGAAUUGUCUCAUAAACCUUAACAUAUCUACUUAGAUUUUAAAGGAGUGGGAAUCUUGUAUUUUGCUUGUGACGUAGAUGUGAUCGAUACAUUAUGUAAAUGUAAAAAAUGGCUACUUCGGCUAGGGUUAAUUUAGAAGAGAAUGUGGUAAAACAAAUAUAUUGGCGGCAGAAUGGGGUAGUCUUCCUUGUUUAUCCUUUCUUCGGAAGUUUCGGUGGGAGGUUCCUUCUGUUUAUUGGGUUUCGUUGCUCUUUCAAUUUAGUGAACACUUUAUCUUGUGAAAAUAGUUUCUUUCAUUAGUGUUCUUA